GACAGAGGUGCCAAGCGUUAGGCGGAAUCACUGGGCUUAAAGCGUGUGUAGGCGGAUUUGUAAGUACCUUGUGAAAUCCCACGGCUCAACCGUGGAACUGCUCGGUAUACUGCGAGUCUUGAGCCACUUAGGGGCUACCGGAACAAAUGGUGGAGCGGUGAGAUGCGUAGAUAUCAUUUGGAACGCCAAUGGUGAAAACAGGUAGCUGGGAGUGUGCUGACGCUGAGACACGAAAGCCAGGGGAGCGAACGGG
rnacentral:rRNA from 1 species